UACGUAGGUGGCAAGCGUUGUCCGGAUUUACUGGGCGUAAAGAGCGCGCAGGCGGUCGAUUAAGUCGAAUGUGAAAGCCCCCGGCUCAACUGGGGAGGGUCAUUCGAUACUGAUCGACUUGAAGGCAGGAGAGAGAAGUGGAAUUCCCGGUGUAGUGGUGAAAUUCGUAGAUAUUCGGAGGAACACCAGUGGCGAAGGCGGCUCACUGGCUCGACACUGACGCUGAGGUGCGAAAGCGUGGGGAGCAAACAGG
rnacentral:rRNA from 1 species